GCCAAGGGUUGGGUGACAGCCCUAUGCACCGCCCGGUCAUCAGCAGGUGUUGGGAAUGGGAGCCGCGGUGGGCCCAGGGGAGGCCCGCUCAGGGGCCCCAGGGCUGUGCCUCCAGCCCGCACACGCGGUGGGCGCUGGGCCGCGCUCCUCCAGGCCCGCGGCAGAGACGGGGGGUGCCGGAGGGUGCCGGGAGCCCUGAAGCCUCCACCAUAAACACACGGACAGGGCAGCCCAAGGCCUGCAGGAGGACCGGGAGAAACAAAUGCACGCACUGUUUUUUGCAAGUUAUGAGGGACCCAGUGGGCAAAGAAUGCGAAGAAUGACACUUCAGAACAGGUCUGAAAAUGACAUUUGGACAUUUCAGAGCCACGUCUGCAAACGCGUGGAAAUAGGGAGCACCCUGGCGUGUUCAGGGCACUGUAAAAAAAACUGCUUUCUCGAAACCACUCCCAAAUGUUUAAUUUGUCAUGAGAGUUCAAAUAGGAUAUUCAGGCCAUUUUAUCAAAUAUAAUAAAAUCUCACACUCACCAAGGAUGGCCAUAAAGCAACUGGCAGUUUGCCCCUCUCCGUUCAGCAUCCCCACCUGGCACUCGGGAAGGGUCAGCUCUCUUCUUGGACGUGGGGAGUCAGAAAUCCAAGAGACUCUAAGGGUCAUGUGGAGGACGAAUAUCCAGCCAGAUGAAGGACAUCACGAGUGGAUGCCCUGCAGGAGGAGAGAGGAUGGCGGAACCAAGGAACUGAAGACCCUGAAUGAGGCUCAGGCCGAGACAGCGAAGGGGAGGAAGUGAUGAGCGACCCAGCUGGAGGGGUGAGCAGAGCCCAACCAUAAACAGCUACAUUAAGACGUUUGGGUGAAGGCACCACAACACUCAAGCUAAUGAAGCUUCAGCUUCAAGGUCCCCACUUGCACAAAACCCUCCCAGGGCCCUGGGAGGGGCACUAGCAAGGGGUUCCUACAAUCAUGUAUUUUCAAAUAUUUUGCGAAAGAUACUUGCACUCUCAUUUUUACAGACAGCUCCCUAUUCUACUCUUUCCUGCCAUCAAGCCUCACGACUGGAAUGACUAGAGUAUUUGGGGAUCUAGCAAGUUGACUAGAUAUUUAGUUUGGGUUUGGUGUGGGCCUUUAUUCCCAAAUAUGGGAAACUUAUUGCAAACCAUCUCAGCAUACGAAAGGCUUUUUUCUU
rnacentral:lncRNA from 1 species